rnacentral:rRNA from 1 species
AUGCGCACCAGCCUGUACGUCGACGACGCCAUCAUAUUCAUCAACCCUGUCAGGCACGAACUCGACGAGCUCCUGACCAUCCUGCACCAUUUCGGCGGGGCCACAUGACUGUGAGUAAACUUUGAAAAAUCCUCGAUCAUCCCCAUAGCCCGCGAGGGAGUAGACAUCGCCAUGGUUCUGCUAAACUUUAGAGGGGUCAUCGCAGCACUACCCACUAGAUAUCUAGGGCUACCAAUCACAGUCGGCAAGAUUAGGCUUGUUCAUCUCCAGUUUAUAUUAGAUAGGAUCUGAGCACGACUGGCGGGAUAGAAAGGAUGGCUCAUGCACAUCGCGGGCAGAAGGGUGCUAGUGCGGUGCGUCCUCUCAGCCAUGCCCACAUUCGCCAUCACGGCUCUACGGGCGCCGAAGCGGUUCUUCAAGGACGUCGACAAGGCAAGACAGCGGUUUAUAUGGGCAAAGGACGAAGAGGUUUCAUGA